UACGUAGGUGGCAAGCGUUGUCCGGAAUUAUUGGGCGUAAAGCGCGCGCAGGCGGUUCUUUAAGGCCGGUGUGAAAGCCCACGGCUCAACCGUGGAGGGUCAUUGGAAACUGGAGAGCUUGAGUACAGAAGAGGAAAGCGGAAUUCCACGUGUAGCGGUGAAAUGCGUAGAGAUGUGGAGGAACACCAGUGGCGAAGGCGGCUUUCUGGUCUGUAACUGACGCUGAGGCGCGAAAGCGUGGGGAGCAAACAGG
rnacentral:rRNA from 1 species